GUGUCUGCUGCUGCGGUGGA
rnacentral:snRNA from 1 species